UACGUAGGCAGCGAGCGUUGUUCGGAGUUACUGGGCGUAAAGGGUGUGUAGGCGGUUUUCUAAGUUUGGUGUGAAAUCUCCCGGCUUAACCGGGAGGGUGCGCCGAAAACUGGGAGACUAGAGUGCGGGAUGUGAGAGUAGAAUUCCUGGUGUAGCGGUGAAAUGCGUAGAUAUCAGGAGGAAUACCGGUGGUGCAGACGGCUCUCUGGGCCUUACCUGACGCUGAGGAGCGAAAGCGUGGGGAGCGAACAGG
rnacentral:rRNA from 1 species